CUCCUAUGAUGAUUCAGCCAUGCUAAUACUGAUGCAACCUGGAUGUAAAUGAGUUCAACUCACCUUCUCACAUUGAUUGGUUCAGUGUGUGCUGAGGAGG
ensembl:snoRNA Small nucleolar RNA U6-53/MBII-28